AGGGAAGGCAGAGGAAUAUGUGCUAGGCUGUAGUUGUGGACAUGGCACCUUGCAGAGCACCUUUUAUAUGUCCAGAAACUAUUGAUAACACAUGAAAUUACAGAUCCAGGAAAAGGCAUUGGCAUGAACCAUCUCCAGAGAAUUUCCUGAACAGCUUUGGAGGACUGGACAAGAUCGCUGAAGAAUUUCCAGUGCUCUAGAAGGCUCAAGACAGCAUUUCCAGUGCUAGAAGGUGAACAAAGAGAGAAGCAUGAUCUACUUUACCUCUACAGACAGUAGGACUUAGUAGGACUUC